CUUAAACUUGCUGCAACCACUUCCGACACUUCAAGUGAACCACAAACAUAUCCUGUGCGAAUAUAAUAACAACAGCAUCAUGGUUGAAUUUUCACAUUACUAUAGUGCACUUGUACAACAGCUGACUUUUCAUAGAUCUAAAUCAAACAGAUUGCAGAAUCUAAAAGCCCUUACAAAAAUGUUUAAAAAGUUAAAGUUUGGGAAGAAGAAAAAAACAGCCAGGAAUACACAUGAGCAGUAUCGUCUGAUCAAAGACAUACCAACACAGCACACAGAGACCACGGAUGCAGGAGAACAGGAAAGCACAGUCGAUGAGAUGCCAUCCUGUUCAGGUGUUGAAGUGAGUGGCGAGGCAGGGCUUAAUAUUCUCAGAACAAUUCUGAGUGAACAAUCAAACCCAGAGAAUGCGGACACUGCAGCUGCAAUGCCAAAAAUCAGCUUCUCUCAAGAAUGGCAAAAUAAGUACCUUCAGGAAAUAGAUCAGUUUGUGGAGAACCAUUUUCCCAGGCUGCCAGCUGAGAGAACUCAAAAAUCUCAGUUGGAGCAGAUACCGGACUUUCUAAAGAGCGCACAGACUAUGAUAUGCAAUGGUGUUCGUCGAUUAACACCUGCACUGAAAGAUGCUGGGCUGCUAGAUCAUCUGAUGGACAGUUACAGCCGUCACCUCUUUACCAACCUGGACCUGCUGCUAAACAGAGAUCUGUCUGUGAAAGAGAUCUUCUGCCUUCUACUGUGGGGAAAAGAUUUUUUCUUCAGUUCAGAAUCAAAACUGAGAGUGUACGAUCCUCUGCUGUUGACAGGAGGGUUUGAGUGUGCAAAGCAGAAACUACUGCAAGUACUUAAGGGUGACAUCUCCAAGUGUCUACAGAAAAUCCUGUGCGAAGAUGAGGAACAUGGACAUAAUAAGGAAUCAAUGGAUGAAGAAACUUUCUUCCAAGUGCACAUAGAUGUCAUUCAGGUCCUGAAUUGUACUAUUGUUGAAGCUGAAAAGGUUGGUCUGACUUUGAUGCAUGCCGUACAAAUACUCUGUAGUGGAGAGCUGCAUGAUUUUGUUCAGAAGUAUGUGGAUGCUAAGAAUGAACAUCUUAAAAAACUAAAGUUUACAGAGAAAAACUCUGUGAAUCUCUUUCGGCUAAUCAACACCUGCAUGCAACUCAGAUGCUAUGCUGCACAAAUCACUCCAGAUGUUAGCAACAGUGAUGUCUACUCAAGCACUAUAUGCAUGCUACAGAAACUGGAAGAUAAAGCUUCAUCCAUUGUACAAAAUAUCAUGAACUGCUUAGCACAGGCUAAAUUAGAAAGUUUUUUCAAGAAAAGGAAUGGGCAUAUUGAUAUCCUAAUGGAGGCAAUCCAAAAGCAGUGUGCAUCUCUGCCUGAGACUGCCUCAGAGAUCAAAACGGUACGUGCAGUGUACGACCUUAAAACCAAUCAAAAAUAUUCAAACUGCAUAUCUCACCCUCAGUCCCUCUAA
ensembl:lncRNA